rnacentral:rRNA from 1 species
AAAGUUACGCUAAUACCGCAUAAGCCCUGAGGGGGAAAGUGGGGGACCGCAAGGCCUCACGCGAAUGGAGCGGCCGAUGUCAGAUUAGCUAGUUGGUGGGGUAAAGGCUCACCAAGGCGACGAUCUGUAGCGGGUCUGAGAGGAUGAUCCGCCACACUGGGACUGAGACACGGCCCAGACUCCUACGGGAGGCAGCAGUGGGGAAUUUUGGACAAUGGGCGCAAGCCUGAUCCAGCCAUGCCGCGUGCGGGACGAAGGCCUUCGGGUUGUAAACCGCUUUCAGCCGGAAAGAAAUCGCUGUUUUUAAUACGGACAGUGGAUGACGGUACCGGAAGAAGAAGCACCGGCUAACUACGUGCCAGCAGCCGCGGUAAUACGUAGGGUGCGAGCGUUAAUCGGAAUUACUGGGCGUAAAGCGUGCGCAGGCGGUUUUGUAAGCCAGACGUGAAAUCCCC